AAUCUGAUUUAGAUCUGGUGAGCAGCAGAAGUACCGGAGCUGGGAAGAGAGAGGUAUUGCAGCAGGUACGCUGUGGCUGUGAGGUGCCUCAGAGUGUGCUUUUUCCUUGUCUCUGCAGGUGCUUUGUGCAGUUGUGGAGAGGGAAGGGAAAUCCUCCUGUGAUGGAGCUCUGAUGGAAGGCUGAAAUGAAGUGUGUAGUGCGCAGUGCAGGACGUCUCAACCCGAGCUGCCUCUGCAGUGACUCUGGUGGUGUGGAUGAUACUGGUUGCACUGUUGGAGCUUGGAUUUGGAGAGGAACAGGUGAGCAGAACCGUAUGUUUCAUCAGCAGUAGUCAGCAUUGUGGAGAAGGUGGGCAUCAUGGCCGGUGUGCUAGUGAAUGCUGGUACUCUCUUUUUUUGCAGCUGAUGAUGAGCCUGGCAAUUGACUAAGAUGACAAUCGGUGCCUGUGCAUUUCUUGGGGUGGAAGGAAUUUACCAUCCAACAACCUGAGAGCUAAGUUGGGGGGCACCUGGUAAUUGCAUAUCUGGGGUGGCUAAUGGGAGCUGGGAGCCAGAGCAGCAUGGUGCCUGCUGGCUGAAUAGACUUGGUGCCACUGUGAGGGGUGUUUCAGGCUGGGUCAAGUUCAGGCUGCUUGUGGCUGGGUCACCAGGCUAAUAGAAGCAGCGGGAUUAUUUUGAAGCGUGAGUGCGUGCGCCAGGCAGGACA